AUUGAACGCCGGCGGUAUGCUUAACACAUGCAAGUCGAACGGUAACAGGCCUUCGGGCGCUGACGAGUGGCGGACGGGUGCGUAACGCGUAGGAAUCUGCCUGUUAGUGGGGGACAACGUGGGGAAACUCACGCUAAUACCGCAUACGCCCUACGGGGGAAAGCGGGGGACCUUCGGGCCUCGCGCUAACAGAUGAGCCUGCGUGGGAUUAGCUAGUUGGUAGGGUAAAGGCCUACCAAGGCGACGAUCCCUAGCUGGUCUGAGAGGACGAUCGGCCCAACGGGAAGUGAGAGACGGCCCGGAGUCCGACGGAAGGCCAAGGUGGGGAAUAUUGGACAAUGGGCGCAAGCCUGAUCCAGCAAUACCGCGUGUGUGAAGAAGGCCUGAGGGUUGUAAAGCACUUUUAAUCGGGAGGAACAUCUGCCAGCUAAUACCUGGUAGUCUGACAUUACCGAUAGAAAAAGCACCGGCUAACUCCGUGCCAGCAGCCGCCGUAACAC
rnacentral:rRNA from 1 species